UUUUAGCACCUUUUCAUUUUCUUUCUAAGCAACUAAGUUAUUUUUGGUCAACUCUCUCAAUUUUCUCCACAACCACCUCAAGUGAAAUCCUUCAUUUCUCUACAAAAUUUUGAGCUCAAGAGCAUAGAUUAUCAAAUAGACAAGGUGUAUUGAAGUGAAGGAGUAAAGGGUGAGUUAUUGUUUAUUUUUUCUAAUGUUUAGCUAUCUUUUGAAUCACUUUUAGGUAAAUAUGUAAAUAAUUAAAAGAUAAUAUCAAAGAAAGUUUUAGGCCCCAAUAAUAUUUUGAGUAUAAAUUGAUUAAUA
rnacentral:misc_RNA from 1 species